rnacentral:rRNA from 1 species
AUACGUAGGGAGCAAGCGUUGUCCGGAAUUACUGGGCGUAAAGGGUGCGUAGGCGGCAUGUUAAGUUAGAUGUCAAAUACCCGGGCUUAACCCGGGGACGCAUCUAAAACUGGCGUGCUUGAGUGCAGGAGAGGAAAGCGGAAUUCCUAGUGUAGCGGUGGAAUGCGUAGAUAUUAGGAGGAACACCAGUGGCGAAGGCGGCUUUCUGGACUGUAACUGACGCUGAAGCACGAAAGCGUGGGGAGCAAACAGGAUUAGAUACCCUGGUAGUCCACGCUGUAAACGAUGGAUACUAGGUGUGGGUGACAGAAGUCAUCUGUGCCGCAGCAAACGCAAUAAGUAUCCCGCCUGGGGAGUACGGUCGCAAGACUGAA